rnacentral:rRNA from 1 species
CAGCAGCCACGGUAAUACGUAGGGUGCAAGCGUUAAUCGGAAUUACUGGGCGUAAAGCGUGCGCAGGCGGUUCUAUAAGACAGAUGUGAAAUCCCCGGGCUCAACCUGGGAACUGCACUUGUGACUGUAGAGCUGGAGUGCGGCAGUGGGGGAUGGAAUUCCGCGUGUAGCAGUGAAAUGCGUAGAUAUGCGGAGGAACACCGAUGGCGAAGGCAAUCCCCUGGGCCUGCACUGACGCUCAUGCACGAAAGCGUGGGGAGCAAACAGGAUUAGAUACCCCGGUAGUCCCUGUCUCUUAUAC